GCGCAAGCCUGAUGCAGCCAUGCCGCGUGUGUGAAGAAGGCCUUCGGGUUGUAAAGCACUUUCAGUCUGGAGGAAAGGUUAGUAGUUAAUACCUGCUAGCUGUGACGUUACUGACAGAAGAAGCACCGGCUAACUCCGUGCCAGCAGCCGCGGUAAUACGGAGGGUGCGAGCGUUAAUCGGAAUUACUGGGCGUAAAGCGUACGCAGGCGGUUUGUUAAGCGAGAUGUGAAAGCCCCGGGCUCAACCUGGGAACAGCAUUUCGAACUGGCAAGCUAGAGUGUGAUAGAGGGUGGUAGAAUUUCAGGUGUAGCGGUGAAAUGCGUAGAGAUCUGAAGGAAUACCGAUGGCGAAGGCAGCCACCUGGGUCAACACUGACGCUCAUGUACGAAAGCGUGGGGAGCAAACAGGAUUAGAUACCCUGGUAGUCCACGCCGUAAACGAUGUCUACUAGGAGCUCGGUCUUUCGGGACUGUUUUCCAAAGCUAACGCAUUAAGUAGACCGCCUGG
rnacentral:rRNA from 1 species